UACGAAGGGGGCUAGCGUUGCUCGGAAUCACUGGGCGUAAAGGGUGCGUAGGCGGGUCUUUAAGUCAGGGGUGAAAUCCUGGAGCUCAACUCCAGAACUGCCUUUGAUACUGAGGAUCUUGAGUCCGGGAGAGGUGAGUGGAACUGCGAGUGUAGAGGUGAAAUUCGUAGAUAUUCGCAAGAACACCAGUGGCGAAGGCGGCUCACUGGCCCGGUACUGACGCUGAGGUGCGAAAGCGUGGGAGCAAACAGG
rnacentral:rRNA from 1 species